rnacentral:rRNA from 1 species
GAUGAACGCUGGCGGCGUGCCUAAUACAUGCAAGUCGAGCGAACAGACGAGGAGCUUGCUCCUUUGACGUUAGCGGCGGACGGGUGAGUAACACGUAGGUAACCUACCUAUAAGACUGGGAUAACUUCGGGAAACCGGAGCUAAUACCGGAUAAUAUUUCGAACCGCAUGGUUCGAUAGUGAAAGAUGGCUUUGCUAUCACUUAUAGAUGGACCUGCGCCGUAUUAGCUAGUUGGUAAGGUAACGGCUUACCAAGGCAACGAUACGUAGCCGACCUGAGAGGGGGAUCGGCCACACGGGACCUGAGCCUCGGUCCAGCCCCCGACGGGAGGAAGAAGGGGGUAAUUUUCCGCAAGGGGGGAAAGCCUGAGGGAGGACCCCCGCGUGGUGAAGGGAGGCCCUCGGUCCGUAAAACCGUUUUAUAAGGGAAGAAAAAACGUGUAAGAACCGGGGCACGUUUUGACGUUAACUAUACAAAAAGCCCGGGCUAACUCCGU